rnacentral:miRNA from 1 species
ACCAGGAGGCUGAGGUCCCU